AUUGAACGCUGGCGGCAGGCCUAACACAUGCAAGUCGAACGAGUGGCGGACGGGUGAGUAAUGUCUGGGAAACUGCCUGAUGGAGGGGGAUAACUACUGGAAACGGUAGCUAAUACCGCAUACCAUCAGAUGUGCCCAGAUGGGAUUAGCUUGUUGGUGGGGUAAAGGCUCACCAAGGCGACGAUCCCUAGCUGGUUUGAGAGGAUGACCAGCCAAACUGGGACUGAGACACGGGCCAGACUCCUACGGUAGGCAGCAGUGGGGAAUAUUGGACAAUGGGGGAAAGCCUGAUCCAGCCAUUCCGCGUGUAUGAAGAAGGCCUUCGGGUUGUAAAGUACUUUCAGCGGGGAGGCGUUACCUGCAGAAGAAGCACCGGCUAACUACGUGCCAGCCGCCGCGGUAAUUC
rnacentral:rRNA from 1 species